rnacentral:rRNA from 1 species
GUAGGUGGCAAGCGUUGUCCGGAAUUAUUGGGCGUAAAGCGCGCGCAGGCGGUCCUUUAAGUCUGAUGUGAAAGCCCACGGCUCAACCGUGGAGGGUCAUUGGAAACUGGGGGACUUGAGUACAGAAGAGGAAAGCGGAAUUCCAAGUGUAGCGGUGAAAUGCGUAGAGAUUUGGAGGAACACCAGUGGCGAAGGCGGCUUUCUGGUCUGUAACUGACGCUGAGGCGCGAAAGCGUGGGGAGCAAACAGGAUUAGAUACCCUGGUAGUCCACGCCGUAAACGAUGAGUGCUAAGUGUUAGGGGGUUUCCCGCCCCCUUAGUGCUGCAGCUAACGCAUUAAGCACUCCGCCCUGGGGAGUACGGCCGCAAGGCUG